GACGAACGCUGGCGGCGUGCUUAACACAUGCAAGUCGAACGGAAAGGCCCUGCUCUUGUGGGUUGCUCGAUUGGCGCACGGGUGAGUAACACGUGAGUAACCCGCCCCUGACUUUGGGAUAUCUUCAGGAAACUGGGGCUAAUACCCGAUAGGAUCUCUUGCUGCAUGGUGGGGGUUGGUAAGUUUCGGCGGUUGGGGCUGGACUCGCGGCUUAUCCGCUUGUUUGUGGAGUAGUGGCUUACCAAGGCUUUGACGGGUAGCCGGCCUGAGAGGGUGACCGGCCACAUUAGGCCUGAGAGACGGCCCAGAAUCCUACGGGAGGCAGAAGUGGGGAAUAUGGCACAGUGGGCGGAAGCCAGAGGCAGCGACGCCGCGUGCGGGAUGACGGCCUUCGGGUUGUAAACCGCUGUCGCCUGUGACGAAGCGUGAGUGACGGUAACGGGUAAAGAAGCAACGGCUAACUACGUG
rnacentral:rRNA from 1 species